GGAGGCAACUCUGAACCAGCCAUGCCGCGUGCAGGAAGACUGCCCUAUGGGUUGUAAACUGCUUUUAUACAGGAAGAAACCCCUCCACGUGUACGGGGCUGACGGUACUGUAUGAAUAAGCACCGGCUAACUCCGUGCCAGCAGCCGCGGUAAUACGGAGGGUGCAAGCGUUAUCCGGAAUCAUUGGGUUUAAAGGGUCCGUAGGUGGGCAAUUAAGUCAGAGGUGAAAUCCCAUAGCUUAACUAUGGAACUGCCUUUGAUACUGGUUGUCUUGAGUUAUAUUGAAGUAAGUAGAAUGUGUAGUGUAGCGGUGAAAUGCAUAGAUAUUACACAGAAUACCGAUUGCGAAGGCAGA
rnacentral:rRNA from 1 species